GGGUCAGUAGGUUGGUCGUGCCACCGGUACGUACUGGUCUCACUGAUUCCUCCUUCCUGAAGAACCGUAAUGCCAUUAAUUUGGUGCUGCGGGGAAACAGGACUGUUACUUUGAAAAAAUUAGAGUGUUUAAAGCAAGCUUACGCUUGAAUACAUUAGCAUGGAAUAAUGAAAUAGGACGAUCGAUCCUAUUUUGUUGGUUUCUAGGAUUGACGUA
rnacentral:rRNA from 1 species